rnacentral:rRNA from 1 species
CCUACGGGUGGCAGCAGUAGGGAAUCUUGCGCAAUGGGCGAAAGCCUGACGCAGCGACGCCGCGUGCGGGAUGAAGGCCUUCGGGUCGUAAACCGCUUUCAGCAGGGACGCGGUACCUGCAGAAGAAGGCCCGGCCAACUACGUGCCAGCAGCCGCGGUGAUACGUAGGGGUCUAGCGUUGUCCGGAAUCAUUGGGCGUAAAGAGCUCGUAGGCGGUUCAGUUAGUCAGGUGUGAAAUCUCCACGCUCAACGUGGAGGGGCCACCUGAUACUGCUGGACUCGAGUCCGGUAGGGGAGUUCGGAAUUCCCGGUGUAGCGGUGAAAUGCGCAGAUAUCGGGAGGAACACCAGUGGCGAAGGCGGAACUCUGGGCCGGACUGACGCUGAGGAGCGAAAGCGUGGGGAGCGAACAGGAUUAGAUACCCUUGUAGUC